rnacentral:tRNA from 1 species
UGGCUUAGAGGGUAAAGCGUCCGCCUGCAAUGCAGAAGACCUGGGUUCAAUCCCUG